AGUUUGAUCCUGGCUCAGAUUGAACGCUGGCGGCAGGCCUAACACAUGCAAGUCGAACGGUAACAGAGAGUAGCUUGCUACUUUGCUGACGAGUGGCGGACGGGUGAGUAAUGUCUGGGGAUCUGCCUGAUGGAGGGGGAUAACUACUGGAAACGGUAGCUAAUACCGCAUAAUGUCGCAAGACCAAAGCGGGGGACUUUCGGGCCUCGCACCAUCAGAUGAACCCAGAUGGGAUUAACUAGUAGGUAGGGUAAUGGCUUACCUAGGCGACGAUCCCUAGCUGGUCUGACAGGAUGACCAGCCACACUGGAACUGAGACACGGUCCACACUCCUACGGGAGGCAGCAGUGGGGAAUAUUGCACAAUGGGCGCAAGCCUGAUGCACCCAUGCCGCGUGUAUGAAGAAGGCCUUCGGGUUGUAAAGUACUUUCAGUCAGGAGGAAGGGUGUGAAAUUAAUACUUUCAUGCAUUGACGUUACUGACAGAAGAAGCACCGGCUAACUCCGUGCCAGCAGCCGCGGUAA
rnacentral:rRNA from 1 species